rnacentral:tRNA from 3 species
AAAAAGAUAAGCUAAUUAAGCUAAUAGGUUCAUACCCUAUAUAUAGACGUAAACCCCUCUUCUUUUUA